AAAAACGACUUUGGCGGCUUUCGCUCGAUGAAGAACGUAGCGAAAUCGAAUCUUGGUUGUAAUUGCAGAAUCCCGUGAACCAUCGAGUCUUUGAACGCAAGUUGCGCCCGAAGCCCCAUCAGGCCGAGGGCACGUCUGCCUGGGCGUCACACAUC
rnacentral:rRNA from 1 species